UCGCGCCAAUCCAAUGCAGAAGACAGAGGAGGACGGGGAGCCCUCCGCGCAUGGCGGCACCGCCAACUUGUGACAGCUCAAGAACAUGGGUACAGUGGCUAUUCUAGCCACUGUAACAUGGGGACCGUGUUUGCAAGAGCGGCAGCAACAACACUGCUUUAUUUCGGUUCAAGGUGGCUAGGGACGACCCAACUUGAGCUACUAUGCUGUCACAUUCUGUCAAAAGAGUGGCAGACUGGCUGACAACGCUGCUGCUUGAGCAGCAUCUGUGCCUCAUAGAACUGAAGCACUCCAGCUGCCUAGCAACUCCCAAGAGUGAGAAGUCACGGGAGGAGAUGCCAUCCACAGAUGUCAUUUCUGCGACUACGAAGCUGGAAGACUGUUGAAGUUAUUAUAGUAGUACACAUAAGGUUCCACACACGUGGGUUGCCAUUUCAGUGCCACUUAUGUCCUCAGAUCUUUUUUCAUAAAUGUCCAACCUGAACAUACACUGUGCUUUGUUAGUGACCAUACUGCUGCAUUGUUUGCAUGGAACCCUUACCUGACGAGACACAUAAUCAAACAACACGGGUAUACCGUGUUGAAGUAGGUUACAAUGCUUGUAGGCACACAUGGUGGACUAAACUAGGGUAAUUUUGAAUUAACAAGUUCCAUCGUGUUAAAUCCACAUUGAAGGUAGAAGUGAGAUUUUUGUAAGAUGUUCAGAGCAAGUUACAGCUGCAAUGUUCUCCUGCUAUUCCUUCAUGUGAAUGCAUAAGAAACUGGAAGGGCUCAAGCAUCAUCUACACGUUAGAAGUGUAUGAAGUAAAAUAAUGAACCAUAAAUGAUAAUAAAUGUUGAGCCUCCAAUGGGGACAUGUUGGUGUUCUCCAUGUAUAUCACUGGCCAUUUGAACAUUGAACAUUCUUGACAGUUGAGAGAGGUUUAUGUGUGCACAUGAAAAGCGAAUUGAAAGUUGUCUCUCUAAGGUGUUAAUGGCCAGCCUUGCAAGGAAGUCCUAUUUGCUAUGGUACAAUCUGCAUGCGAUUUUUCUUUCUUUGAGCUUAAGAUUAUCUUCAGGUUCUUAAGAACAUAAACACUGUCAAUGCACUUGUGUGUGCACCUGGUUUUUAUGCUAUUAGAACUUUUUUCUUUUGUUGCACAUAAUAAUUUGGACGUUAACAAGUUCCCGUCAAUGCGGUGCUAUGCUCCGCCAUUUUGAAACUUGUGAAAGCUGUGAAAGCUUUUCUAUAAGUGAAAGUGACCUUGCACAUCUCAAGUCACUUUGACUUUAGCUUGACUGAAGCAAUGCUCUAUCCACACUUCAUUCUUAGGCAAAGCUCAUACUGUCAUGAAGACACAGUUGGCCAUUUCUCGAAAUGCUUGAGUUUACUUCCACAUCUUCCUCAACAUUUUUCCUUUAAUUCCUGGAGUUUCCCGUUCACAUUUGGCCAUGGCUGCAUAUCAUGCAGGUUUUUUGCUGAGAGGUUGUUUUGUUUGUGCAUCUUAGUAAUCAAAGUUGUGAUUAUUAAAAAGUAUUGGAAUUUCAAAUUUUCACUUUGAAACAUUAUUCUCACUGAUUUUAAUGUAAAAGUUACCUUGAAUAUACCUUUCUCAUAUAGACAACAUUGUGUGGCAUUUUAACUAGUUAAAUGUCAGCUGUGAUAAUGCAGCGGGGAAAGCCGGUGGCGUGGCCCAGCAAUGCAACUUCCAUGUGCAUAGGUAAGUUCUUAAAGGAGACAUUGGUAGCUAAUCAUCACAAAGAGCAGUCAGCAAACAGACUUCUAUUGCGAGGACUCAUACAGAUUUGCUGUCUUUGAUGUGUCAGUUACUCAAAUUAACAUGUAUUGUGAAAGAUGUUUUUUUAUUAUCAUCCAUCCACCAUGUGCAUUUACGCAGAAUUUUCAUAUUCCCAAACAAAAUGCAGACAAAUGUUUGACGAUACAAAUUUCAUUCAAUAACUUUUUCACGUAGUACUAAAUGUACAGCAGAUAUCAAUCACAUAGACAACAGCAAUGCAAAGCUGCUAAUGCUCUUGCUUUCUUUCUUUUCUCAGGUCAGUCACACCGUGUAUGAAUAAAUAAAACUCUUCUUUUGGCACUUGACCGAUGGGCCUUACCGCAAACUUUUUGCGUCUCGUUCAAACUCCUUAGGGAGUUGCUCCGUGUCCAUCCCUAUCGGGAACAGAAGUGUCCAGCCUUGUCUUCGGUGUGGUCAUUUAUUUCUCUUAUUAGAUGUACUUUGUAAAUUUUACUGCAUCAGAAUUGUUGUGUGGUGUGUGACUGCGUUUGUUGAACGCUUUUUAGUGUUCAUUGAUUUCUUUGUUACUAAUAGCAUAUAAUCUUGUGGUGUCUACCAUAUAGCUGUGUUGGGUGUCCCAGGAGAAGUUGAGUGAUUGCAAGUGGAAGUUAAUUUAUUACAAGAUUAAAUAUAAGUAAUACAACUGAUGAAAAAAAGCUAAUUUACUGAAAACGGGUGUGAUUCUGCUUAAUAUUUUUAAAAUUGUGUCAUUUAUUCAUUUCUACUGUCUUCUUUGGUGCUUUUAAAGUGGCAUCCCCCUGCUCCUUGAGCCUCAAUGCUCGGACAGUAAUUGUGGACUAAGAACAGUUUUGAUUCUGCUUUCUUUUAUGCAGCAUUGCAUAAAUAAUGUGGCAUUCUGUUUUUUACAUGGUUUGUUUAUAUGAAAAGGUAUUAAAUAUAUAUAAUCUGGUUAUAAGAUAUACUUAGUAAUGUUCUGUAUUGCAACUGCUUCUGUUAGCCGUACCGACCACACCAAUGUGAAUUUUCCGUACUUUAUUGUUCUUGGUAUUGUUUUUUUGUUUAAUCUGUGGUUCUUUCUUUGUGUGUGCAUGUGUUUGCAUGGCUCUCUGCUGGUCAUCAAGAAUGAGCGUGCUGCAAGCCUCGGAUUUGUGCACUGAUUUUGUGCACUGCUUGUGUUGGGCUGUGGUAUCUCCUGCAGUGCUAAACAUUAUAUCAUGUUUUGCCACUUAGCAGUUAACCUCAUCGUUUUCUUAAUUGUGUUCCUUUUAACUACAUGUUUGUUAAGGUUAUUCACGUCUUUUGUGCUCCUCAAAAGAAAAUAUGAAAUGAUAAAAGAGUUCGCAUAUUAAAAAUGAACAAGAGCAAAGCUGUACCAACAUCUUGCCACCUUACGCAGAUUUACAUGACCAUUGAACAGUGCUGUGUGUUUUAGAUGUGAAACAGAGAUUUGCACAAUGUAUUGUAGUAAAUGUGUCUGGUACAGGACAGAUGCUGGCUACAGAAAUCUUAUUUACAGAGUGUUAUACAGAGGAUAGCUGAGGGAAUGAGUACCUGCCAUAAAACUAGAAAUUCUAGAAAUGAUGCAGAAUGCUUGACCAAAAGUAACUGCUCUCACUUCAUAACUGUAUUGUCUAAGUUUUCUCUUUGUCAUGGGUGGAACAGUACUGUGUUGUAUUCUGCUUUUUUUAAAAAAAAGGAGUGGCUCUUGUAUUACAGUCAAUGAAAAGGGGAGGCUUCAUUUGUAUGAUUUUGUGCUGCCAGAAAAUAAGUUUUUGACUUGGGUAUUUAUGCUUAUUUAGCAGACUACUUGUUUUGGCAUUGGGCUUCGUAUUUAUGAGAUAGAAAACUUCCGAGCCUUAGAAAAUAUUGUCCUGGUUCAAGAAUUGACAUCUAAAAGUGUUUUUAUUCAGCUGACAGUAACGCAGCUUUUGUGUUGUAAUUACAUUAUGUGUUUAAUUCUUAAAUGAGGAAUAUCAAGGAUGUCUUCAAGAUAUUGUACCGAUUCCAGAAGGAAAAAGUUGGAAUAAUAAAAAUAUGAAUCAUGUGUAAUAGUCUACCACAGCACACAAUAUGAUAAAUCCUUGCUUUAAAUGGUACGCUGCCUUUUUAUUUUAUACACUCAGCUCGACAUCUCUAAGCAUUAUUUAGGUACCUGUACUAUGAUGAUGUUACUGAAGAUUUCGGCUGUCACACUUGGCUGCAGCAGCAGCCUGCACUAAUAGUGCACUCUAUCUUACCUUACGACUUAUUACAAUUCAAUAAAUUUUUGUUAGCAUUAUUAUGUAUGUAUUUCUCAAACUUGGUCAUCAAACAGUCACGUAAAUAUAUUGCAAAAAUCAUAAAUGCUCAACCAGGCCAGUCCGUUAGACGUGAUUCAAGUUCACCGUCAGUGCUUCUGAAAUGAAGAAAAAGAUUAUAUUUAGCAUAACUAUCCCUGUUGUAUUAUAUCUUCGGCAUUUCAUAAUUAGUCUUGUUUCUUCGAAUGAAACGCAUUAGGUAAUCUGUCCUGUUUUCUUUGUGCAGCAUCGAUGCAGUCCCACUGUCCAGCAACUGCAGAUGGUGACAAGUUGCACCAGAAACGCCGCCACCACUGUAACUUGUGUGACUAUAAGACUGAUAAAAUGUCUAAUUUCAAAACUCACAUUAGGGUUCAUACGGGCGAGCGGCCUUUUGAAUGCGUGCCCUCAGAGAUUCUCCCAAAGGUGUGCGCUGAAGCAACACCUGCGCAUCCACACAGGGGAGAGGCCGUUUCAAUGCCCUUCGUGCCCUCGGCGCUUCACACAGAAGGUUGUUCUCAAGCAACACCUGCGCACCCACACAGGUGAGCGGCCAUUUCAGUGCCACUUAUGCCCUCAGACCUUCGUGCGUAGAAGCUACCUCAACAUACACCUGAGCCACCAUAAGCAUGAGUCACAAUGUUAGGUCUGUGAGUGGUGGCGCUGGCUAACACUCCCAGGGUUCUGCUAGGACACGUAAAUACCCAAAAAAGUGGAUGGGGAAACAGCACCGCGGUAGCUCAAUUGGUAGAGCAUCGCAUGCGAAAUGCGAAGGUUGUGGGUUCGGUUCCCACCUGCGGCUAGUUGUUUUUUCAUCCGCAUUAAUUUCCAUUAAUUUAUCAUUUCUUUAUUUCAUUUAUUAAGCACAAGUGAUUUCCCCUAUGUUGUCCUUGGUGUCUGUGUUUGUUCGCUUCUCAUGAUAUAUCAGUGCAAGUGCUGCUCACCCAGCUGUUAUGUAACGGCAUGUUCGACUGGUCAUACUAGAGUCCCCUGUCAGCGCUAAGUCAUGCAAGACAACUUUAACACUCUUGGUCUAGUGGUGAUAACACAGUGUGGGCGGUGUUAUUUAUGCAGUGAAGUUUAGUUGCUAUUGGUACAGGGAUUAUGCAUACAUAUAAGAUAAGCUCAAGUGUAGUUAUGCAUAAUAAAAAAUGGUACGAAGCAGCUAAGCCAACUGCCAGCUUGUGCAGCCUUUCUCCGCCACCUCAUUCUCUUCAAACUCAAGGCACUAUCAUCGAGUUCAUGCGCAAGCACCACAUAACACUAGCUUAAUUACUUGGUGCAGCAUUCCCAUACAGAUCACUUAACUGACCAAUCAAACAUGCCGUAAGUAACAAACUCAAGGAACACUUGCAUGUCCACAUAGUUGCUUGACCAUACUUCUGGACUAUCUCAUCUAAAUCCUUUGUGCAAGCCACUCGAGCACACACGUGAAGACACAGCAUCAUUAUACCACAAAGUAGGUCACCAGCUGUGUGGGUCUACUUUGUUUUAAAUAGAGUCUGAAAUGGAAGUCCACAUAGGUGUGCAGUAUGCUGCAUAGAAGUCUGGUGCACCAAGAAGGACAAAUUUUAUUGUACGCUCUUAGUAUUUGUAGAACUGCUCAGUGACUUCGGAGAAUGUUGUAGCACAAUCUUACAAAUUCUUCCAUCACUUCAAGACAUGGCUGAAGCUGCCCAUAUUGAAUACUGCUGGGACGUUUUUUGUAAUGUGUUUGCUGCACAACACAGUGAAAAUGGCCUUGGGAUACUCCUUUAUGUGAUGCCACAAGUGUUGGCGCUUACAUAAGAUUUUGUAUGCACACUCUUUAUCACAAGGUGUUAUAUCAACAAGAGCAAGAGGGUUACUGAUUUCUGAGAAACUAUAGAUUGGUGUGUAGAGUCCAUUGGCUCAACGACCAGGUCUGGCGCAAGAGCAUCAAGCAAGGGCUUAUGAGCUUCCAAUGGAGGAGUGAAGAAUGGUAGGUGCUGGAAAGAUGUUAAGAGUAAGGAGCGGGGAUUUCCACUCCUUCCUGGUGCCUUUAUUGAUGCCUAUAAGGCAAAAUUCUAAUAAGACUCCUCGUGCUCAACUUCCAUCAUUCACGGAGCCACUUUGCUUCUUUUAUGAGGGUUUGCCCGGGAAGUUCACAUUUGACAUUUUUGCUCCGUUCUUUCUGCAGCUAGAUUAUGUCGCUGGUAGAUGGGGUAUUUCAUAUUUGCAGCUGCAUUAUCUGCCAUGGUUAGAAUAUGUCAUGUUACGUUUUGUUAGUAACUGCACCUUUGUUAAUAUGCUAGAGCUUCGUGAAUUGUGGCUUUAGUAGUGUUUCUUGGUGCUGUUACACCAUGCACACAGGGAUAGUGGAGGUAGCAUGGGCCUAGCGAUCCGGAGCUUGACUAGCAGGGAGGGGCGAAGGAAGGAAUGCGAGAGAAUUGAUAUAACGAGUAACAAAACUUUUAAUUACAUCACUUUGGAGUGGCCAGCUUUACAAGCUUUCUGAUGGAGAGUACACAUCCUAUAGCCUGCGCUGAAGGCUGAAGCAGAAGUCUUUGGCGGGGGCAUCCUUUAUAUAGCGUCUUCGGGACACCCUCUCUCAGACUGAGAGAAUGAACACACUCAAUGUUUGCAGCUGCUGCUUGGUACAUAGAAGUAAGUUCAAUGAAUUUUCCAACUGCCACUGGUGCAACAGAGGGAAAGGCACUGCCGCGCGCACACAGACACCACCAGCGUCUCCCUUGCCGAGGAAGAGGAGAAAAAGUGAAUGUGUGCAUGAAGCUCAACCACCUUGCUCGCUGAAAAGAGACAGCACUGGCGAGCCCACACAGACAUCAGGGCAUUGCGCAUGCUGUGGGGAAGGAGGCAGAAAUGCGCGCACAAAGGCGAACAUCUUUUCGACAUAGUGCCCUCUUAGGCAUAUUUUAACGGUUGCGGGCGGCUCGGCAUAUUUGAAAUGUCCAAACUUUCACCGUGGCUUUGGCGGCAUGACACAAAUUGUUCACGACACAGGCCAAUGGUAACAGCGCACAAUAAGAUGUGAUCUGUUUCUCUAGGGCUAAUCCUCUUGUCACCUCUGUUUGAAAACGCAUUGAAAACACGCACUUGAAAACGAACUUUUGUAAUAUACUUAUCAUUUGUCUUGCCUAUGUGUAUGUACCUUUCUCUAUUGCAGCGUUUUCAUUAGUUUUCAUCAGCAUCAUGUUUAAAAAAACAAUGCAUUUUGUAAAUCUACUGUACAUAUUAUGUUUUUUUGAAUCUCUUUACCAUUGUGUACAUCACAUUUGUAUUUGUAUCUUUUGUACCUCUGUUUAUUAUCGUCGGAUGUCAACUCAAAAUUUGGAAUUAUUACUGCUGUUAUUUAUUUUUUGUUUGUUUGAGUUACUUUUACCGAUGUUUACCUUGUAUUCUCUUAGCCCCUCCCCUCUAUAAUGUACUAUGUACCUUGAGGGUAAAAUGAAUGAAAUGAAAUGAAAAGUGUAUGUACAAGCUCUUGCAUCUUUUUUCACUAUUAUGGUCUUUCAACAUUUUCAGUGCCUUCUUGCAUAUAAUUGUGAAUGAUGGUAGCUCAUGUGUGGAUAAUUGAUUGCUUCUUCACAGCGAUCAAGUGUUUAUGCAUUUAUUACAAGUUGUUUUGUAAAUGUUUCAGCACACCAAAUAAAUGUCUGUGUUUUAUGAAUUCA